ACCAAAUAUACCAAAUAAGGUCUCUCUGAGACAACGCAGAAUCCCAUACCUGUUGAUUUGGAAAUUAAGCAUUUUUCUUGAACAUUGACUGACUGUUAAAUGGAAACUUAGCAGAAAAAAAAACACACAGAAAGACGGUCCUAAUGAUGUUUCAGAGCAUGACUGUACCAGUGUCUGAAAGAGAGUAAGUUUGACAACAGUGAAUGAAUGCUACCAGUAAUCCAUACCACUGCUAGAGUCACAUAACCACAGCUGGACUGCACUUAUACAGUAGAAAACUGAACCCUGACUGGAUCCAGAGCAGCUGCCCUCAGCAGUACAGCUGACUUCAAGUUUAGGGACAAGAUCUUUCACCUCUUACCUGAGACACGACUGACAAAAAGCAACAGAGGAACUGGGACAAUUCUGGCACUCAGAAAUCUGACUCCAUGGAUACAAACCAAACUUAUCACUGUUUUGCUCCUAAAGUAUGGAAUUGUGAGAAUGCCAUUUGGUUAAAUCACUAUUAAAAUGAGAUAUGGUGACAUUUUGCUUGUCAUCGUUUAAUCUUAUCAAUUAAAAA